rnacentral:ncRNA from 2 species
AUGAUGGUGGCGGGAGAGAUCCCUCUAUGGGGCGCCGAAGGAGCAACCUUAUUUUCUCAGGCUGGAGAAAAUUUGGUAAACUCUCAGGCAAAAGGACUGUCACCGGACG